ensembl:lncRNA
GAAAACCUUGCGUAAAAUACUGAGGUAGCCAUUUUUCCAAUCGCUUCUUAUGAGAAACCAACUGCCUCGACGGAUAUAUUAUCAAAUAUGUUUGUUAAAAACACUUUGAGGAUGGAUCCUAAACAACGUUUGCUGUGUUUCUGUCGAUAUUAUGGAGCAAAUUUAGAAAAAAAGUUUGGCGUUAUAGUUGUAGCAUUUUAGGGUCGAUUUCUCAGCCAAGCAUGAUGAACAAACGGGAGCUAUUUCGCCUACAAAAAUAAUAUUUUUGGAAAAAAGGAACAUUUGCUAUCUAACUGGGAGUGUCCUGAGUGAAAGCAUCUGAAGUUCUUCAAAGGUAUACAGACAAGGAGGCAUACAAGGACCUGAGCCCUAGGACCAUGCCCCAGGACUACCUGACAUGAUGACUCCUUGUUGUCUCCAGUCCACCUGGCCGUGCUGCUGCUCCAGUUUCAACUGUUCUGCCUUAUUAUUAUUCGACCAUGCUGGUCAUUUAUGAACAUUUGAACAUCU